rnacentral:rRNA from 1 species
UGCAAGUCGAACGCACAGCGAAAGGUGCUUGCACCUUUCAAGUGAGUGGCGAACGGGUGAGUAACACGUGGACAACCUGCCUCAAGGCUGGGGAUAACAUUUGGAAACAGAUGCUAAUACCGAAUAAAACUUAGUGUCGCAUGACAAAAAGUUAAAAGGCGCUUCGGCGUCACCUAGAGAUGGAUCCGCGGUGCAUUAGUUAGUUGGUGGGGUAAAGGCCUACCAAGACAAUGAUGCAUAGCCGAGUUGAGAGACUGAUCGGCCACAUUGGGACUGAGACACGGCCCAAACUCCUACGGGAGGCUGCAGUAGGGAAUCUUCCACAAUGGGCGAAAGCCUGAUGGAGCAACGCCGCGUGUGUGAUGAAGGCUUUCGGGUCGUAAAGCACUGUUGUAUGGGAAGAACAGCUAGAAUAGGAAAUGAUUUUAGUUUGACGGUACCAUACCAGAAAGGGACGGCUAAAUACGUGCCAGCAGCCGCGGUAAUACGUAUGUCCCGAGCGUUAUCCGGAUUUAUUGGGCGUAAAGCGAGCGCAGACGGUUUAUUAAGUCUGAUGUGAAAGCCCGGAGCUCAACUCCGGAAUGGCAUUGGAAACUGGUUAACUUGAGUGCAGUAGAGGUAAGUGGAACUCCAUGUGUAGCGGUGGAAUGCGUAGAUAUAUGGAAGAACACCAGUGGCGAAGGCGGCUUACUGGACUGCAACUGACGUUGAGGCUCGAAAGUGUGGGUAGCAAACAGGAUUAGAUACCCUGGUAGUCCACACCGUAAACGAUGAACACUAGGUGUUAGGAGGUUUCCGCCUCUUAGUGCCGAAGCUAACGCAUUAAGUGUUCCGCCUGGGGAGUACGACCGCAAGGUUGAAACUCAAAGGAAUUGACGGGGACCCGCACAAGCGGUGGAGCAUGUGGUUUAAUUCGAAGCAACGCGAAGAACCUUACCAGGUCUUGACAUCCUUUGAAGCUUUAGAAAAUAG